GUGUCUUCUCGCUUCAGUAGCACAUAUAUUAAAAUUGGAACCAUACAGAGAUUAGCAUGGCUCCUGAUCUAGGAUGACAUGCAAAUCUGUGAAGCGUUCCGUAGUUUU